CUCCUGCUGCUGCUGCCGGCCCCAACGGCCUCCCAGCUGCGAUACUCGGUGCCGGAGGAGCAGGCACCCGGCGCGCUCGUGGGCAACGUGGCUAGCGCGCUGGGGCUCGAGCUGCGGCGCUUGGGGCCAGGCUGCCUGCGCAUCAACCAUCUGGGUGCGCCCAGCCCGCGCUACCUAGAGCUGGACCUCACAAGUGGAGCGCUCUUCGUCAACGAGCGCAUUGAUCGGGAGGCGCUGUGUGAGCAGCGGCCUCGCUGCCUGCUCAGCUUGGAAGUGCUGGCGCACAAUCCCGUGGCGGUGAGCGCCGUUGAGGUGGAGGUACUGGACAUCAACGACAACUCACCGCGCUUUCCGCGGCCCGACUACCAGCUUCAGGUAAGCGAGUCGGUGGCGCCUGGAGCGCGCUUUCACAUAGAGAGCGCGCAGGACCCUGACGUGGGCGCCAACUCGGUGCAGACUUACGAGCUCAGCCCGAGCGAGCACUUCGAGCUGGACCUUAAACCUCUGCAGGAGAACAGUAAGGUGCUGGAGCUGGUGCUGCGUAAGGGUCUAGACCGCGAGCAGGCAGCCUUGCACCACCUGGUUCUCACAGCCGUGGAUGGGGGCAACCCAGCCCGCUCGGGUACGGCACAGAUCUCUGUGCAUGUCCUGGACACUAACGACAACUCUCCCACCUUCGACCAGUCCGCUUAUCGCGUCCAGUUGCGGGAGGACGCGCCCCCAGGCACUUUGGUGGUGAAGUUGAAUGCCUCAGAUCCAGAUGAGGGUUCCAAUGGUGAGCUCAGGUACUCCUUGAGCAGCUACACGUCGGACCGGGAGAGGCAGCUCUUCAGCAUAGAUGCCAGUACAGGGGAAGUGCGAGUAAGUGGGGCUCUGGAUUAUGAGGAGGCCUCCUCCUACCAGAUCUAUGUGCAGGCGACUGACCAGGGUCCAGUACCCAUGGCUGGUCACUGCAAGGUACUGGUGGACAUUGUGGACGUGAAUGACAAUGCACCAGAAGUGGUGGUCACAGACCUGUAUAGCCCAGUGGCUGAGGAUGCUGCACCCAACACCGUUGUGGCCCUUCUCAGUGUCAAUGACCAAGACUCAGGCCCCAACCGGAAAGUGAGCCUGGGCCUGGAGGCCACACUGCCUUUCCGACUGAAUGGCUUUGGAAACUCCUAUACACUGGUGGUUAGUGGCCCCCUGGACCGGGAGCGGGUAGCUGCCUACAACAUCACAGUGACAGCAACUGAUGGGGGAAUACCACAGCUCACAUCCCAGCGGACGCUGCAGGUUGAGAUCUCUGACAUCAAUGACAAUCCACCAAGCUUCCUGAAGGACUCCUAUUCCAUCUACAUCCAGGAGAACAAUUUGCCAGGGGUGUUGCUCUGCACUGUGCCAGCCACAGACCCAGAUGAAAAGGAGAAUGCAGAGGUGACCUACUCCCUCCUGGAGAGGGAGAUUCAAGGGCUGCCAGUCACCUCCUAUGUCUCCAUUAACAGUGCCAGUGGCAGCCUGUAUGCUGUCAACUCCUUUGACUAUGAGAAGUUUCGAGAGUUCUUUGUGACUGUGGAGGCCCAAGACAAGGGGAGCCCACCACUGAGCAGCACUGUGACCGUCAACGUGUAUGUGGUGGACAUGAAUGACCAUGCCCCUCACAUUCUGUACCCUACCUCAACCAAUUCAUCAGCAGCCAUUGAAAUGGUGCCUCGAACUGCCCCUGCUGGCUACCUGGUCACCAAAGUCAUAGCCAUGGACUCAGACUCUGGGCAAAAUGCUUGGCUCUUUUACCAUCUAGCCCAGACUUCUGACCUGGACCUCUUUAAAGUAGAGCUGCACACAGGAGAAAUUAGGACUACCAGGAAGAUGGGAGAUGACAGUGGUACCACUUUCAACCUGACAGUGGUGGUCCGAGACAAUGGAGAACCAUCACUAUCAGCCUCUGUGGCCAUUACAGUAGCUGUGGUGGAUAGGGUUUCCAAAAUCCUCCCUGACACUCAGAGACAUGUUAAGAGUCCUCGGACAUACUCUGAAAUUACACUUUAUCUAAUAAUAGCAUUAAGCACAGUGUCUUUUAUAUUUCUUUUGACAAUCAUUGUUUUGAGUAUCAUCAAGUGCUACCGCUACACUGCAUAUGGCACUGCAUGCUGUGGAGGCUUCUGUGGAGUAAGGGAGAGGUGCCCUGCAGAACUGUACAAACAGGCCAACAACAAUAUUGAUGCCAGGAUACCACAUGGCCUCAAAGUGCAGCCUCACUUCAUUGAAGUUCGAGGAAAUGGCUCCCUUACCAAGACCUACUGCUACAAGGCCUGUUUGACAGCAGGCUCGGGGAGUGACACUUUCAUGUUUUACAACACAGGGGCCCAGGCAGGACCAGGUCCUGGGGGAGCCCAAGCAGCAGUGACUGACAGCAGGCACCUCACAGGCCAAAGUGGGCAGAGUGCUGGGAACCUGAUUAUUCUAAAAAAUCAGGCUGUUUCUCAAAAUGAGGUGAGAUAAUGGUCAGGGAGUCUUCUACAAACUCAUGCGUUUUUCACACACACCCCAAUAUCAUGUGGUUGGAUGUUUUGA